CAGGAAUCGCUUCUUCCUCAAGAUCUGAAACAGCAAAUCGAAUCUGAUAAAAUGUUCGAAGUUAUGAAAGCUGUAAAUAAAAUUAUGUUCAAGAUUGUUUCCUACUUAACAGUUUUGGCAUUCUUCAUCGUAAUUCCAUUCUUGAUGGUUUCAUUCGGUGUAACGUACUUAACAGAAUGUCCAGCUCAGUAUAACGUGCCAAUAUUUUUGAUAAUUGGG